CCUACGGGAGGCAGCAGUGGGGGAUAUUGGGCAAUGGGCGGAACCCUGAUGCAGCGACGCCGCGUGAAGGAAGAAGUCAUUCGGGUUGUAAACUUCUUUUGGCAGGGAAGAGUAGAAGACGGUACCUGACGAAUAAGCCACGGCUAACUACGUGCCAGCAGCCGCGGUAAUACGUAGGUGGCAAGCGUUGUCCGGAUUUACUGGGUGUAAAGGGCGUGUAGCCGGGUUGACAAGUCAGAUGUGAAAGCCUGCGGCUUAACCGCAGAAGUGCAUUUGAAACUGUUGAUCUUGAGUACUGGAGAGGCAGAUGGAAUUCCUAGUGUAGCGGUGAAAUGCGUAGAUAUUAGGAGGAACACCAGUGGCGAAGGCGGUCUGCUGGACAGCAACUGACGGUGAGGCGCGAAAGCGUGGGGAGCAAACAGGAUUAGAUACCCGAGUAGUC
rnacentral:rRNA from 1 species